GAGUGGCGAACGGGUGGGUAACGCGUGAAGAACCUGCCUUCAACAGGGGGAUAACACUCCCAACGGGGUGCUAAUACCGCAUGAGACCACGGGGUCGCAUGGCCCAGGGGUCAAAGGUGGCCUCUACCCGGUUGAAGAUGGCUUCGCGUCCCAUUAGCUAGUUGGCGGUGUAAGAGACCACCAAGGCGACGAUGGGUAGCUGGUCUGAGAGGAUGGUCAGCCACACUGGGACUGAGAUACGGCCCAGACUCCUACGGGAGGCAGCAGUCGAGAGGCUUUGGCAAUGGGGGAAACCCUGACCAAGCGACGCCGCGUGGAGGAUGAAGGCCUUUGGGUUGUAAACUCCUUUUGUCGGGGAAGAAAUGCGAUCAGGUGAACAAUCUGGUCGUUUGACGGUACUCGACGAAUAAGCUCCGGCUAACUCCGUGCCAGCAGCCGCGGUAACACGGGGGGAGCAAGCGUUGUUCGGAAUCACUGGGCGUAAAGGGCGUGUAGGCGGUCAGGUAAGUGGAAUGUGAAAUCCCUCGGCUCACCCGAGGACCUGCAUCCCAAACUGCCUGGCUUGAGUAUGGGAGAGGAUGAGGGAAUUCCUGGUGUAGCGGUGAAAUGCGUAGAUAUCAGGAGGAACACCGGUGGCGAAGGCGCUCAUCUGGCCCAAUAC
rnacentral:rRNA from 1 species